CGGUGAAUACGUUCCCGGGCUCUUGUACACACCGCCCGUCAAACCAUGAAAGUGACCAACACCCGAAGUCCGAUUCGUCGGCCUAAGGUGGGGGGCAUGAUUGGGGUU
rnacentral:rRNA from 1 species